GAGCAAUCUAGGUGUGGCACCAGUCUGAUAUUUUUUCAGCUUGGACUUCUCUGGCCUUACCUUCUAUAUUUGGGGCUGAAUAUGCAAGUGAAUUGUGAGCAGUGUCUGGGAGACUGCAAUAAUCCAUUCAGUUUGGAACAGGCUCUGCUUCUGAAAAGAUACAGAGUGAAACUUCUCAAGAAACUGAGCAGAGAAAAGCUUCGGCUCAGUAACAAAUGGAGGAGCUCUUUGAGGAGGAGUGAGUCAUGCCUCGCCACCCCAGAGCGGGCAGUGCGCAUUCCCACAAGCUCUUUGGAAACCCACAGCUGGAAACUUCCAAGAAGACACCUGCUCCGUGUUCAGUGCUCACAGCAGGGACUCAGAAGAGGCUUUAAAAUGUACUUUCAACUGAAAGACUAUACUCCUUCUCUCACCUCACACUUGUCAAGUCAUGUCAUUGCCAGGACCUACUGCCUGUCUCAGCUAUGUGGACGUAUGUAAUGCUCUUUUCCUCCCCUCCUUGCACUGUAUAUCUCCUGGUCAUAAGCAUGCAGGAACCUGUUUGCAUUCACCUAUAUUUUGUACCAUCUGGUGGCUUCAUGAAAGGCCUGUAAGGUGUUGCAAAGUAAAUCUCAGUAGCAUGAUUCUUCUUGUGGCAACCUGUGUGGAGGUGGAUAGAAACGCUCCACACCUUCCUGCUCUAGAACAGAUAGGUAUGCUCUUUUCAGUUUUGUAACUCAAUGAACCUUUGACCUUCUGGGCUUAUUUAACUAUUGUGAAGGCUGAAGACGCUGAGGAUCCCUUUUGGCUCUUUGCUUAACCUCAAGAUGGGUUGAGAGAGAAAAAUCUAAACCUCAGAUUUUUCAGAAGUUUAUAAGCAUUUUAAUUGGUGAAGCUGAUUUUUUCAUCUAUGAAACUUGGGCUUCAAAUCCAUGAUAGACCUGAAACUUUCUAUUGGGUGGAAUGAUUUAACAUAGAGAGUUAAUUUGAAUUUUUAUUUAGCAUAAUUUCCUUCUCCUCUCUGCCCUUUGCCCCCAGUUCCUGGCUUACUGAUUUCUGCAUUUUCCCCCCUUAUUAUCUAGUUCUAGGAAAGCAUAACCUCUCUCUUCCUCAAUCCUAAACAAAGUAUAUUUUCACACACUUUCACAGCUAUGCGUGUAUCUUCCUCAGUUAUUGUGUCUCUUAUCUGAGCAUAACUGUUUCCAGAUCUUAAAAAACUGUUCUGCACCUUGUAUCUCAGUGGAGAUACGUUCUGCAGGAUCAGGGAGUCUCGGUCUUUCUAGUUAAGAGUAAUUGUUCUGGUUAUUUCCAAGAGCACAAAUCUUGCCUUUGUAGUUUCUCUGAUUUGGGCCAAAGAAAUAAAAAUCGAGACUACAGAUAGACUUCCCCACUUUCAGGUCUCAGGAUGGUUAAGAACAUUACAGACAAAAAAAACAGCUUGGACAGAUUUGGACCCUGCUGCCAGCCUACCCGGGGCUGGAAGCUGCAGCCUGGGACAAUGCUUCAUAUUCUCUCCUUCUCCAGAGUUGUCUGAAGUGUGGAUCUGGACUUGAACUUCUGACAUUUGACGGGUGUUUAAUCUCUUAUAGCUCCUUUUUCCAAACCCUUGAGUAGUUGCCCUUUCCUAGAACACACGCUGAGCACAAGAAACACCCUUCUUAAAAAACACAAACACUCAGAAGAGGAACACAGAGAACUGAAAGAGCUUCACCAAGAGGUUUUGUUUCUCUAUAAACUCCACAUACGAAACCCUGGCCUCUGCACUGCCUCAGCAUUUGCUGUAUUUAUUUCUUUUCCUCCUCUGCAGAUUGGGAGCAUUUUCUGCCAAACAGAGAAAGGCUUUGUGAGAUGAGGAACAGCUCAGGUUUUUGCAGCUUAUAUAGUAUGCGUUGCCUCCUUCUGAGAGCUGAAGGUUAACUUCUGUCCCUGCUGCUUCCCUUUCCCCCAAAAAACAGCUCCAUUCAGUAAUACCCCUCUUCUUACCCUCACUCUUUAGGAAAAAGGCUCAUAGUAGCUCCUGGCAGAACAGGGCAGAGAUCCCGCCGCUAGCUUUUCUUGAAAGGAGGACAGAGGAAAAAAGCAGCGCUGAGUUUUCAAGAGAAAUUGGCUGCCAAAGCUGAGGAGCAAACAGAUAUUUCCCCCCUAAACCGGUGAUCUUCCCUCCCACUUCUCCCUCCCAUGGGUAUUUCCCCAUGAUGAACUCACUUGGAGA